UGCCUGGGCGGCCUCUUUCCUAGCAUUGUUCAUUGCCUCGAUGUUGGUGAUGAGCUGGUGUCCAAUCUGCAAGAGCGGCCAGGGAGUCAAUAUAGAAGUCGAGGAAUAAGCAAAGUAAAGAGGCGAGAAGGAGUAAAUUGACCUACCUCGAGAAAAAACCCCAGAGAGUCCCAAACCCACUGCUCAGGAUCGGCAUGAACGAUCCUGUGGACGACC
rnacentral:lncRNA from 1 species